AUACGGAGGGUGCAAGCGUUGUCCGGAUUUAUUGGGUUUAAAGGGUGCGUAGGUGGCGUGUUAAGUCAGUGGUGAAAGCCUGCAGCUCAACUGUAGAGGUGCCAUUGAUACUGACAUGCUUGAGUAUGGACGAGGUAGGCGGAAUUUGUGGUGUAGCGGUGAAAUGCAUAGAUACCACAAAGAACACCGAUAGCGAAGGCAGCUUACUGGACCAUAACUGACACUGAGGCACGAAAGUGUGGGUAGCGAACAGGAUUAGAUACCCUUGUAGUCC
rnacentral:rRNA from 1 species